rnacentral:rRNA from 1 species
UACGUAGGGGGCAAGCGUUGUCCGGAUUUAUUGGGCGUAAAGCGCGUGUAGGCGGCUUAGCAAGUCGGGCGUGAAAAGCCCUCGGCUCAACCGAGGAAGUGCACCCGAAACUGCUGAGCUUGAGUGCCGGAGAGGAUGGCGGAAUUCCCCAAGUAGAGGUGAAAUUCGUAGAUAUGGGGAGGAACACCGGUGGCGAAGGCGGCCAUCUGGACGGUACUGACGCUGAGACGCGAAAGCGUGGGGAGCGAACAGG